UGCUUAAUACAUGCAAGUCGAACGAGAAAGCCCUUCGGGGUGAGUAGAGUGGCGCACGGGUGCGUAACACGUAGGUGAUCUGCCUAUUAGUGGGGAAUAACCAGUGGAAACGCUGGCUAAUACCGCAUGUGCUGGAUGACAUUGGAAAAAUCCAGUAAAGGGGGCUUCGGCUCUCGCUAAUAGAUGAGCCUGCGGUACAUUAGCUUGAUGGUGGGGUAACGGCCUACCAUGGCGAUGAUGUAUAGCUGGUCUGAGAGGAUGAUCAGCCACACUGGAACUGAGACACGGUCCAGACUCCUACGGGAGGCAGCAGUAGGGAAUAUUGCGCAAUGGGGGAAACCCUGACGCAGCAAUACCGCGUGAGUGAGGAAGGCUUUCGGGUUGUAAAGCUCUGUUAAUAGGGAAGAACGGCUUAUCGGUNAAUACCCGGUAGGUUUGACGGUACCUAUAGAGGAAGCACCG
rnacentral:rRNA from 1 species